rnacentral:rRNA from 1 species
CGUGUAGGCGGCUUUGCAAGUUGGGUGUGAAAGCCCUCGGCUUAACCGAGGAAGGGCGCCCAAAACUGCAGAGCUUGAGUACCGGAGAGGAUGGUGGAAUUCCCCAAGUAGAGGUGAAAUUCGUAGAUAUGGGGAGGAACACCGGUGGCGAAGGCGACCAUCUGGACGGAUACUGACGCUGAGACGCGAAAGCGUGGGUAGCAAACA